rnacentral:rRNA from 1 species
UACGGGGGGGCAAGCGUUGUUCGGAAUUACUGGGCGUAAAGAGCUCGUAGGCGGUGUGUCGCGUCGGCCGUGAAAACCUGCAGCUUAACUGUGGGCGUGCGGUCGAUACGGGCAUCACUGGAGUUCGGCAGGGGAGACUGGAAUUCCUGGUGUAGCGGUGAAAUGCGCAGAUAUCAGGAGGAACACCGGUGGCGAAGGCGGGUCUCUGGGCCGAUACUGACGCUGAGGAGCGAAAGCGUGGGGAGCAAACAGG